UUUCAGCUACAAGGAGAAGAAACUCUGAACCAAAGUGGCCUGCGCAAUAAAGAAGUUUCUUCUCUCGGUAACUCAUGGAGAGCUGGUGGUUUCAGUGGCUCAACCAUAUUAUCAGGUGCCUGGGUUCUUGUUUUGGCUCUGCUGUCCACAGUAUCAAUUUCCUUUUAAGCCUGAGUCUUUUUAUGGUUAUAAGAAGUCUCAAAAAAAAUUAGAUGUUUAUUUUUCUCUCACUUAAAGAGUUGCAACUUGGAUUUCUUGUCUUCUUGGUCAUGUCCAGCAGGAGAGGGAAAGAGGAGUAUGCUAGGACUGAGUCCUUCCCUUCGGGCUAAUUGGUGCACUGUGGCAGAAAGACUGCUAGUUUUGCAUCAAGAUCCAUGAUCCUAAGUUUUCAGUGGGGCACAGAGCCACCUGGAACAAAGAUUACAUUUCCCAGCUUUCCUAAGAACCAGGUGUGCCCUUUUGACUGUUUUGGCAAUAGAGGUAAGUGGAAGUGAUUUCUGGGCUAUAUUCUCACAAGGAAGGGGUGUACCCUUCCCUGUCCCUUCGUGCUUCCUGCUGCUGCAAUGUGAAUAUGAUCUGAAGAUCUACAGCCACAUGUGAAGGUAACAAGGCAAUAUGGACCCUGAGUGCUUGACAGCUAUAACACCAUCCCGGCCCCCGGCUGUCUCCUUCCUCACUUCUUUUAAAUGAGGGACAGAAAUGAAUUUCUGUUUCAUUCAAACCACUAAUUAGGAGAGUUUUCUGCCAUGUGAAGCUCCAAACUAAUAUAUUUUCCUUAAGUCAUUGCCCAGGCAAGGCUGGGUACAGUGGAUCACACCUGUAAUCUCAGUGCUUUCCGAGGCUGAAGCAGGAGGAUCGCUUGAGCCCAUGAGUUUGAGGCUGCGGUGAGCUAUGAUGGCACCUCUGUACACCAACCUGAGCAACAGAGCAAGACCCUAUCUCUGAAAACUAAGGUUGUUGGCAGACAGAGGAAUGCCACGGCUGACCGACUUCUUCCUGUGAACCUCUAGAAAGUUCUUCCUAAAUUGCCCCAAGGGUUAUCCAGCCUCAAAAGAACAGAUAAAAGCCUAUUUCUGCCUUUUCUGAGUCACGUGAUGUUCUCUAUAAGAUUGCUUCUCUCUGCCUGAAUUUCUCAUCCAGCAAUCCAGUUAGGCUGUAAGCAAUCUUGCUAUGUUAUUAUAAACUCUACUCUGUGUAUUAAAUAUUCUUGCUUAUGGCACUUCUUUUCAAAUCUUUUCUAACUUAUUUUGACUGAUCUUGUAGCCAUCCAGUCUGCUGAAAAUCUGCCGGCUGCUUCGUGACCUUGAGCAAGUUUCUGAACCUUUCCUUGGCCUCUUUUCUUAUUUGUAAAAUUGAGCUACCAUAGACUGAGUGGCUUAAACAACAGAAAUUAAUUUGCCACAUUUCUAGAAGUCCAAGAUCAGGAUGCCUUCAGGACUGGUUUCUAGUGAGGCCUCUCUUCCUGGUUUGUGGAGGGCUGCCUUCUCACUGAAUCUUCAGAGGGCCUUUUCUCCAUGUGCACUCAGGGAGAGAGAGGCCUCUUAGGUCCCUUCCUUGUUUUAUGAGGACACUAGUCAUACUGGAUUAAGACUCACUCUUGCUGGGCGUGGUGGCUCGUGCCUGUAAUCCCAGCACUUUGGGAGGCCGAGGCAGGUGGAUCACGAGGUCAGGAGUUCGAGACCAGCCAGUUCGAGACCAGCCUGGCUAACAUGGUGAAACCCCGUCUCAACUAAAAAUACGGAAAUUAGCUGGGCCUGGUGGCAUGUGCCUGUAAUCCCAGCUACUCGGGAGGCUGAGGCAGGAGAAUUGCUUGAAUUUGGGAGGCGGAGGUUGCAGUCAGCUGAGAUCACAUCACUGCAUUCCAGCCUGGGUGACAGAGUAAGACUCCGUCUCAGAAAAAAAAAAAAAGACUCACUUUUGUGACUCAACCUUUACUACCUUUUUAUAGGCCAUACUCCAAAUACAAUCACACUGAGGGUUAGAGCUUCAAUGUAUGAAUUUGGGGGGGUGGGGAC
rnacentral:lncRNA from 1 species